GCUGGGAAGGCGGCAGUAG
rnacentral:miRNA from 1 species